ACGAGAGAAGCGCAUGCGUGAGGCCCACCCGCAGCGCUGCCAUUGAGGAGCAUUGACUCAGUGAGUGGAAGAGGUUUGUUUGAAACAGGCCGCAAUGGAGAGACCAGCGCCCAGGGAAGCGAGGGAACAGCAGGCUCCUUCCAGCAGCGCAUCGAGAUGCAAAUUCUCAAAGAAACAACAUUUCCUUGUUAGAAAGCCAAGUGUGAGCAGUUGCUUCUAACUAACACCAGGCAUGUUCCUGCAAUCAGAAUGGAGAACAUCUUUUCCAUAGUCAGAGUGGAUUGGAUCAGACUUGUAUUGAGCUCAAUUUCCAGAGACUUGUCUGAGGAAAGGCAAGUUUUUUUUUGUUUUUCAUUGUCAAUUGGAACUAGCAUGAUGUGAAUUAAUAUCAUUUGUAGCCCAUUAACAUUUAAAUCAUGUUUGAAAGGUUAACAUCUGACUCCUUGUUGAAAGUACUGAAAACAGGAACUGGAUCAAGUUUGCAUUUAGAAAAGGUAUUUUAUAAUAUCUCAAACCGGAUAGAGAGAGUGUCCUCCUACCACCCCUUUGAUCAUGACCCUGCCCCAAUCGCCAAAACAUCAUCAUCUCACAGACCAUCCACAACCUCAGCACCUCAGGCACUCUCCCGCCAACAGCCUCUGACCUCAUCUUUCCCCAACGCCAUAUUAACUGUUUCUGCAUCAAUCUCAAAAUCCACAAACCCAACUGCCCCUGUUGACCCGUUUCCUCUGUGACCCUGUCCCACCGAACUCAUCUCCAAUUAUCUCAACUCCAUUUUCUCUCGCUCUCCGUGCCCCUGCCCCUGGACCAGGAACUCCCCACCUAAAUCUGUGACACCACCAACAUCAUCUCCUUCAAAUCCUCCCACUUUCUGCAGUCAAAGUGGGUGGCCAUGGGUACCCGCGUGGGCCCAAGCUAUUCCUGCCUCUUGUAGGAUUCAUGGACCAGCCCCUCUUCUGCAGCUGUACUGGCCCCAUCCCCACCUCUUCCUCCGUUAUUUUGAUGACUGUAUCGGUGCCACCUCGUGCUCCCACAAGGAACUCACAGUUCAUCCACUUUACUGACACCUUCCACCCCAAGUUUAACUUCACCUGAACCAUCUUAAAUAUAUCUCUCUCCUUCCUGGACCACUCCGUUUGAAUUUCUGGCAACCACCUGGAAACUGGUAACUAAUUCAAUCCGACCGAUUCCCACAGCUACCUAGAAUACACUUCCCCUCCCCUCCCCUACCUGGCUGCAAAAAUGCCAUCCCCCAUUCCCAAUUCCUUCCUCUGUGUCAUCUGCUCCUGAGAUGAGGCAUUCCACUCCAGGCCAUUGCAGAUGUCCUUGUUUUUCAAGGACUGCCAAAUUCCCCUCCUCAGUGGCUGAAUAUGCCCUUGACCUCAUCGCUCUCAUUUCUGCAACUUGUCCCUUGCACCCCCUCUCCACAAUAACAACAAAGUCAGAAUCUCCUUUGUCAUCACGUAUCACUCCAUCAAACUCUGGGUUCAAUGCACCUUCCUCUGCCACCUUCAAUCUCACCCCAAUCCCAAGGACAUUUUCCCAACCCCACCCUUAUAUGCCUUCCAGAGGGACUGCUCUCUCUGACUCCCUCGUCCGCUCCACGCUCCACACUAGCCCCACCGCCCCUGUCACAUUUCACUGGAACCACAGGAAGUGCUACACCUGCCCCGACAUCUCUCCCCUUGUCCCAAGAAAACCUUCCAUGUUAAACAGAUGUUCAUCUGUAUGUCCGCUAAUACAUUUUGUUGUGUCCACUGUUCCUGAUGUGGCCCCCUCUACAUUGGGGAAACCAAGCGGAGGCUUGGAAACCACUUUGUUGAACACCUACGCUCACAUCGUGACAAACGACUGCACCUCCCCAGUCAUGACCCACUUCAACACCCCCUCCCACCCCUUGGACAACAUAUCCAUCCUAGGCCGCCUCCAGUGCCACAACGUUGCCUCCGGAAGGCUGCACGAUCUGCAGCUCAUAUUUCACUUGGGAGCCCUGCAGCACAAUGUUCUCAACGUGGGCUUCAAAAUCUCUCCACACCAAACUCAUCCAGCACAUCCCUGCCUCCUUGACCUGUCCAUCUUUUCUCCGACCAAUCUGCUUCUCCCACCUCACUGAUCAACCCCCACCGGCACUUCAUCCUCCUAAACUUAUCCCUGCCUCCUUGACCUGUCAGCCUUCCCUCAACCCAUAUCCGAACUCCCUCCCUACACUUACCGUUACUGGCUCCAGCCCUGCCUCCUUGACUGGCCAUCUUCUCUCCACCUAUCUGGUCCUUUAUCCACCUUUUGUCAUCAUCUCCUCACUUCUCUCUAUUCAUUGCAGAGUCCCUUUCUCUUCCCCCAUUUCUGACAAAAGGGUCCAGUCCAGAAAUGUCAGCUCUCCUGCUCCUCUGCUGCCUGACCUGCUGUGUUCAUCCAGCUCUACACCAUGUUACCCCCUCAAAGAAAAACAUCAUGUUACAUAGUUUGAACAACCAUGUCUGACAAGUAGCAAAUCACUACUGAGCACGUGCAGACACAUAGACAAAGCUGCUGACUGAGUCCCAGAUAUGCUCAUUGUAUCAACACAUAACAUACAAAGACUGGGUAUACAUUGUUGUCAUACACACUGCAGGUAACAGAAGCAAAUACAUAAGAAAUGUUUAGAGCUCUUUUUUUAAGAAAAGCAAGAGAGUCUACCAGACAGAAAAAAAUACCUUUCAGCCCAUCGGGGCAAUAGUAGACAAAAACAAGCACCUGACAAUUCUGAUCCCAUUCAGCCAGCAUUCCAUUUCAAUAAGUGUGUCAUGGCAGUAUACGAUUUGCCAACCCCAACCUUAUCACAAUGUGAUUCUCAACGUGUUCACCUUCAGGAAUAGAAACUAUAUUUUCCAUCUGUCUUGCAAAGCUUCUUUUUUUUUGGGCGGGAGGAAGCAUUGAAGUGAAUUUGGCAACUAAGUUAAACAGUUGUUUACAGUGUCACUUACUCCUCCGAAUGAAAUAUCGCAGAAGUGAGCAGGAAAACAGAAUGCUGUUUCUACACAUGAAUGAUGUAAUCACCAUUUAAAGCAAUGAAGAAUGAUCCAUUUAACUGAA